rnacentral:rRNA from 1 species
AUUGAACGCUGGCGGAAUGCUUUACACAUGCAAGUCGAGCGGCAGCGCGGCCUUCGGGCUGGCGGCGAGCGGCGAACGGGUGAGUAAUGCAUCGGAACAUGCCCAGUCGCGGGGGAUAACACUUCGAAAGAAGUGCUAAUACCGCAUACGUCCUGAGGGGGAAAGCGGGGGAUCGCAAGACCUCGCGCGAUUGGAGUGGCCGAUGUCAGAUUAGCUAGUUGGUGGGGUAAAGGCCUACCAAGGCGACGAUCUGUAGCUGGUCUGAGAGGAUGAUCAGCCACACUGGAACUGAGACACGGCCCAGACUCCUACGGGAGGCAGCAGUGGGGAAUUUUGGACAAUGGGGGCAACCCUGAUCCAGCCAUUCCGCGUGAGUGAAGAAGGCCUUCGGGUUGUAAAGCUCUUUCGGCAGGAACGAAACGGUGGGCUCUAACAUAGUCCGCUAAUGACGGUACCUGAAGAAGAAGCACCGGCUAACUACGUG